UACGUAGGGUGCUAGCGUUGUCCGGAUUUAUUGGGCGUAAAGAGCUCGUAGGUGGCUUGUCACGUCGGAUGUGAAAGCCCGGGGCUUAACCCCGGGUCUGCAUUCGAUACGGGCAGGCUAGAGUGUGGUAGGGGAGAUCGGAAUUCCUGGUGUAGCGGUGAAAUGCGCAGAUAUCAGGAGGAACACCGGUGGCGAAGGCGGAUCUCUGGGCCAUUACUGACGCUGAGGAGCGAAAGCGUGGGGAGCGAACAGG
rnacentral:rRNA from 1 species